AUUUUUUUUUUUUUUAUUAAUGGUCUGAUAGAUUUAUUUACUUGAAUUAUAAAAUUUCAUUUUAUUUCUGAUUGUGGAUUUAUGGUAAGGUCAUACCUUUGUUGAUUAGUGAAGUGUGUGUGUUCAUUUGAAAUCCUUCACAAAACCUUUCAAUUACAUAUUUAGGUAUAAACACUCUUCACUGGGAUUGAAAAGGAAUAUAAGACAUAUUUCACUUCUUCACUUUAUUUACUGCAGUAUCAAUACAAAUCAGCACAUUCUACUAAUGUGAUGAAACAGAAUCAUUGAGUGUACUUUAUUACAUUGAUCAGUAAGGCCCAUAAAAUGUGAAAUUUAGAUUAUCUCUAAAUUUAUCUCUCUUAUAUAAAAUUUAUCUCUCUUAUAUAAAAAUGCAAUGUGCCACUACAGUAUGUAAGCUAAUGGUUCCUUGACAGAAGCCCACAUGAAAAAAAUCCCACUUGAAAAUUCCCCAUGGCAAAAAGGUCACGGUGAUAAAUGCUCAGUUGAAAAAUACUCACACGGUAAAUUGUCAUCACAGAAAAAACAUUUACUUUUAUAUUUUAACAUAAAAUAAAGUCUAUAUUUUAC